GGGGGCACCUGGGGGCUUCUCCUGGCCAGGUUGGGGACCUCCAAGGAUGGAGGACCACCACCCAACUAGGCCUAGACAUUGGCUCUACCGUAGAACAUCAAGGAGAAGAUCCCUGGUCCACUCUACUCCUCAAAACUGGCCAAACCUCCCCAAAAACCCUUCAAAUAAAUCCUGGAUGAUUUAGGAUCUUGUCCCAGAAGACCUUGGGUAGACCCAAGGAUGGAGACCCACCACCAUCCAGGUCUAAAUAUUGGGUUUAUCCUCCUAGGACAUCACGGAGAAGACCCCUGGUCCACUCUACUCCUCAAAACUGGUCAUACCUCCCCAAAAAAACCUUCAAAUGUAUCGUGGAUGAUUUAGGAUUUUCUCCCAGAAGACCUUGGGUAGACCCAAGGAUGGAGACCCACCAGCCAUUUAGAUCUAAUCAUGGUCUCUAUCCUCUUGGGAUCCCAAGGAGAAGAUCCCUGGUCCACUCUACUCCUCAAAACUGGUCAAACCUCCCCAAAAAAACUUCAAAUAAAUCCUGGAUGAUUUAGGAUCUUGUCCCAGAAGACCUUGGGUAGACCCAAGGAUGGAGACCCACCACCCAUUUGGGUCUAAACCUUGGCUCUACCCUCCUAAGACGAGGCCAGAAGAUCCCUGUUCCACUCUACUCCUCAAAACUGGUCGAACCUCCCCAAAAACUCCUCCCUCCCGUCCCACGGAGGCGGUGGCCCGUCCCAGGGAGGUGGUGGCCCACCCCAGGGAGGUGGUGGCCCAUCCCAUAGAGGUGGUGGCCCACCCCGCGGAGGUGGUGGCCCACCCCAUAGAGGUGAUGGCCCACCCCAGGGAGGCGGUGGCCCACCCCAGGGAGGCGGUGGCCCACCCCACGGAGGCGGUGGCCCAUCCCGCAGAGGUGGUGGCCCACCCCAUAGAGGUGGUGGCCCACCCCGCGGAGGCGGUGGCUCACCCCACGGAGGCGGUGGCCCACCCCACGGAGGCGGUUGCCC